AUGUUGCAUGAGAAACUUUGUAGCCUAGAGAAAAGCGAACCGCAUCCACAAACCACGCUCUGCUCUGUUGUGUGUACAGGGACGUGUUCUCAUUUUAACGCUCUCUCCUGUGACGAGUGUCUGCAGCUGGGGCCACGGUGCGCCUGGUGCACACUACAGAAUUUCACCGACUUUUUCUCAAUCAAUGAGAGAUGCGACACACCAGAGGCUCUUCUUCAGAAAGGAUGCUCCGGCAAAUUUGUGGAGUUCCCCGUCACGAAUGUCAAAGUGCUGAAGGAUCAAGGCUUAGGAAAGAGUGCCAACCACACUAAUGUUUCAUACGUCGCACCGCAGAAGAUGCGCCUCCAGCUAAGGCCAGGAAGUCAGCUGACCUUUCAAAUUCAAGUGCAGGAACCGGAGGACCAUCCGGUGGACAUUUAUUACCUGAUGGACCUGUCAGCAUCUAUGAUUGAUGAUCUGAAAAUGAUCAAAGACUUGGGUUCGAUGCUCUCCAAAGAGAUGGCUACGCUUACCAGCAAAUUCAGAUUAGGAUUCGGUUCCUUUGUGGAGAAACCAGUUCUGCCUUUCAUCAAAAUAACACACGAAGAGUUGGCCAAUCCCUGCAGGAGUGUUGAUUAUGAAUGUCUCCCAACAUUUGGAUACAGACAUCUUCUGUCAUUAACAAGCAGUAUUGACAAGUUUAAUGAGAUCAUCUCAAAGCAGCAGGUAUCGGCGAACAUCGACGUGCCAGAGGGCGGUUUUGACGCCAUCAUGCAGGCUGCGGUGUGCGGGGACAGGAUUGGCUGGCAGAACAAUUCCAUGAAGCUGCUGGUGUUUGUGAGCGAUGCAGAUUCUCAUUUUGGGAUGGACAGCAAAAUGUCCGGCAUCGUUGUCCCCAAUGACGGAGAGUGUUACCUGGACGACAACAAUGAGUAUUCAAUGACUGCCCAUCUGGAGUAUCCAACAUUAGGGCAGCUUGUCGAAAAACUGGUUGAAAACAAUAUCCUGCUCAUAUUCGCUGUGACCGACAAUCAGAGACAGAACUACGAGAAUUAUGCAAGUCUGAUUCCUGGUGCUACUGUGGGGGUGUUGGCAUCCGAUUCAAGGAACAUUCUGGAGCUCAUCAUGACCUCAUAUAAGGAACUGAGGUCUGAGAUUGAUCUGGAGGUUCUGGGCAACACUGAGGGUCUGCAGAUUUCCUUCACAGCACUCUGUCAGGAUGGGACCAUCAUCCCUGGAUGUAAAAACUGCUCCAAUGUCAAAGCUGGUGAUGUGGUAUCUUUUAAUGUUACGGUCGAGUUAAAAGGCUGUCUUGCUGGUCCACGACGGUUUUCCUUGCGCCCUGUGGGUUUCCAAGAUGCCCUGGAGAUCGAACUGGAGUCUCAGUGUGUGUGUGACUGUCAUCAAACCCCUGAAGCGAGCAGUGCCUUCUGCAGCCGAGGGCGUGGGGCGCUGGAGUGCGGCACCUGUGUGUGUGAUCCAGGCUUUGUGGGGCCCAAGUGUGAACAAAUUUUAAUGUGUGAUUAUAUGUGCAGCGGACUGGGCGAGUGUUUCUGCGGACAGUGUGUGUGCCACCCGUCCAGUUUCGGUCGUGUGUAUGGGCCGUACUGCGAGUGCGACAACUUUUCCUGCCUCAGGUUCAGAGGAGAGCUUUGCGGAGUGGGGGAAAAGAAAGUGCUGUCAGGGUGGGAGGGAUAUUUGAUCUGCUCUCGCACUUGUGUGUGUGGGAAGUGCGAGUGCACCGUUCCCGGAGCCUCAGGAGAGUGGUGCCAAAGGUGCCCAACCUGUGGAGAUAUCUGUAGCUUACCCAGGUCUUGUGUGGAGUGUUACCUCAAAGCCAGGGACCCAUUGGAUGAGUGUGGCGUGAAGUGCAACUCCCUACAUACCACUGUCAGCAAUUCCACAGGUCAGAAUCCAUUGUUUUUUACGUUUUAUUUUUUAAAUUGUUUGUGUAAUUGUUUGUAUAAUUAUUCUACAGACUGCCCUGAGCCUCCAAACGCUCCGUUGAUCGCUCUGGGCGUGUGCAUGUCUGUCCUCAUUAUUGGCAUUAUGCUCCUUGUGAUCUGGAAGUUUCUUGUUUCUGUCCAUGACCGGAAAGAGGUUGCCAAGUUUGAGGCAGAGAAGGCAAAAGCAAAAUGGCAGUCGGGCACGAAUCCUCUUUUCAGGAGCUCGACAUCAACAUUUAAAAAUGUGACCUACAAAAGCAGAGGGCAGCAAAAUACUUAUAUUUCUUAGGUCUACUGACCAAUUUUGUGUGUUGAAACACAGAAAGUAGGCUUCUUUUUACAAGGAGCGAUUACUGUUUUUUUUCCUUAUUUUCUUGUACUGUACAAGUGAGACACUGUGUGUGUGUGUGGGUGUGCGCAUGUUUAUGUGGUUUAUGAGGACACAAAUUUGUAUAAUGACAUGGGUGUGACACAGAUAUUACAAUAUGAAGGUGAUUUAUGAGGACACUACCAGUGUCGCAGUAAUUCAAAAGGCUUAAAAAAAAACAUACAAAAUGGUGUGUUUUUGAAAAUCUAAUAAAGUACAAAGUUUUCUGUGAGGGGUAUGUUUA
ensembl:lncRNA